UCUCCUGACCUCGUGAUCUGCCCGCCUCGGCCUCCCAAAGUGCUGGGAUUGCAGGCUUGAGCCUGCGCCUGGCCAGAACAGUUUUCAAUAGCAAGGAUAUGCCAGAAUUGUACGGCUUCCCACAGUUAAUGGGCAUUUGGGGGCCCUCCUUCCCCAGUUGUUUGCUUUUAUACGUCAUGUGCCAUGAGCAUUGUCGCACUUGCUUCUUUAUGCAUUCAAGUGCCAGUGGAAGGAGAAAGAUCUCGAAGUCCUGAUUCUAUUAAUUAAGUGGUCCAAGAACGAGAAUGAGCAUCUUGAGGUCUCCCUCUUCAACAGCCUUACAGUGUGGAGGGGAGCAGACACACACAUAGCUUUUACUUAGGGAGACAAGGGUCAACUAAAAGUUAAAGGAGUGCAGGAGGAGGGAGACUGAGGGGUUCAGUCGAGGGGAUGGUUGAGAAGGCUGCCUGGAGGAGGUGUGCUUGAGUCCUGGGUUCAAGGGUCAAAAGGCUCUGAUGCUUGGUCUGCUAAUCUUUCUUAUCGUAUCGUUGCCUGGCAGUAUGCCUGUUAUUUGAGUGGACUCCUCUUGGACCAUUUGCUUGGAUGAACAGUGGGCAGAAGUGGAAAGGAAGGGUGCUCUGGACAAAGGUGACAACACCCGGGAACAAAAGUUGGAAGGUGCACAGUGUGCCCAGAAGGCCAGGAAUUGGGUGGAGUGACCGGCUCCUUGGUCACUUGCAAGUAGCAUGAGAAUGGAGAGGGUUGGGAGCAUGCACUAAAAAGCACCCAGGACGAAUUUAGGUUUGCACAGAAAAUGAUGUUUCUUCAGGGUUUGUGAGGUGAGUUGGGUAGAGAAUUUAGGAAUGGAGCAGACGACUCUGGUUGGGCUGAUGAGAGCGGAGAGACAGACCCAUGUUCUUUCCAGGUGCCCCGGCAGCUCCAGGCCUCACCGAACCUGUUGCGAUGGCAGCCUCUAUGCUUCACUGUUGGGGAUUGCUUCUGCUUUGAAAUAGCCACAUGGAAGAAAAACUACAAAGUUUUGAGGGGGAAAAAAACCCACCUAACGUUAGCUGCCGAUGUGUCUUCAUCUGUAAAAAUCUUCUUCAUGUCUCAUGGAUUUCAACAUGCAGUUUCUCUUGGGUUUGUUCCAUAAAACAUCAGAUGCAACUUUAAUGGCCUGACCCCAAAAAAGAUAACUUCACAGCCAUCAAACAGUCAGCAGCGUUCCACAUACCCUCUUGCUGGAGCCAGCCUUCUACGGGGCCGUGUGGAUGUCAGGCACACACGAUGUGAGUCACGCUGACAUAGCUGGGAUGCCUGGAUUGCGCUGGAAUCUGGGGGGUACCAAUCACAGGCCAGAGAGAAGUCAUUGGCUGGAAGGAACAAUGCCAGAAUGUUCACCAUCUCUGCAGAAGGAGGGGGUGUUGAUGGUGAAGGGAAUGACAGUGGCAGUCAGAGGAGGAAAAUGACCCCGAAGCAGGGUGGGCACGGCUCAGUGAUGCUGGGCAGAAGCAUUCCAGGGGCUCAGGUCAUGACCACACCCCUCUUCUCCUGCCCCACCACCAGAAAAAUUAAGAAGGUACAAGAUUUUCCCUACAACUGAAUGUACGGAACGCCCUGCUGUCUUCAAGUUUUUGGGAAACCCAGAGUUGACACAGCCCAAAUGGAUGAAGCACUUACCUCUACCAGACACUGUCUGUAUCUUACAAAUAAUUCAUUUAAUUCUCACAGCUCCUUCAUGAGGUAAGUUUUGCAAUUUCCAUUUUAUGAUGAGGGAAACUGAGGCUUAAAAAGAUUAAUAAACUUGCCCAAAUCCUGCAGUCAGAAAUGGGCAGAAUCAAGACUUGAACCACAAUCUCUCCAAAGCCAAAGCCUGGGCACUCACGACUACCCUCAACAGUCCAGUGGCUGCUUCAUGCCAUUGGUGCCACCCCCACACAGCCCUCUCUUGGAUGGUGGAACCCUGUGUGUUGAACAAAUCGAGAAAAAUUCUAAAAGGAUUCUUUUUCCUCCACUGUUUUCCUGGGGGCUGAGUAGACAUGUUUGAACAUGCUGUUCAUCUGAUGCUUGUUUACUUCAGUGGUUGUGAUGUACAAGACCCAGACCAGGAACAGUAAGAGGGCAUGAGGACAACCCAGCAUGGACACCACUCUGGAGGAGGCUGCAGACUGGAGGAACUGUUGUAGCCGACUGCAUUUUGGAGGCUAGAGUGGAAUGCCAGCGUCCUGAGAAUAAAGCUUCUGAGCUGACCUGGGAAGGGGUGCCAGUGGCAGCUGUGUCCCCUACAGCUCUGGAAGGUGGAGGCGGUGGAGAGAGCGACUACACAGCUGCCACAAGCCUGGGUCCCUGCCAGGUGAGACCUCAAAGUCCUCUCGAGGGUUGGCUUCCCUGUGCUGGGCCAUGCACAAAGGCGAGUGGUGGCUUCCAGGAGAGCAGCAGAACGUGGUCCUCGGGAGAGGAGAAAGCCCCGGGGAAGGGCUGAUGGGACCUCAGCCCGCAGCUCUGAGAAGGGCUGCUUUGUAGGGAGGGGAUGCAGGCAACAGCUCUCCCAAGAGCCAGGCAAGCAAAAGUAGGUUUCUGUUUGAGCAGCAGCUGGGGAAUUUCAGGGAGCGAGAGGAAUCCACUCCCGACAGUGCGUCAUGUUCAACCCUGGAAGAGGUGACCAUGAAGGGGGCCUCUAGAGAGAGGAGAUGGGCUGCGCUUAGGCUGGCCUCUUUAUUAUCUCUGCCUCUCACCUUUGGGAACCCUGUCCAUCUUUGAGCCCCUGGCGCCAGUGACUCCACUCUGCGAAUCCUUCCCUGACCAGCCCUCCCCCACACCCAUAAGACUCCAAGUUCUGUUUGGGGGACAGAAAGCCCAAGUGCCCUGAGGUCCAGGCUGGUCCACAUUCAUCCCUGGGUGGGCUGUGGCUCGGACCAGUCAUUUGGGUGAUGGAAGUCUCAGACACUCUGGAGGCUAGCCCAGUUGGUCCUGGUGCCCCCACUAACACUCACACCCUAUUCUCCUGCAGCAAAUCUACCCUCUCUACUAUUCAUUUGGCCUUGGGUGUUAGGUAUCAUGUGACCUCGCUGGUAUGACAUCUCCUGGUGUUAGCGGCUUCUUGCGCGAGUACAUUUCUCAGAUGAUCAGACAACAUUUAUUGAACAGUUAGCAUGUGCCACCCACCAGUGUAACUGCUUUGUGGGGUUAUCGCAUUUAAUUCUCCCAAGAAGCCCACGAGUUGUUGUUAUUUUUAUCACCAUAUUACAGAGAAGGAAACAGGGGCCUAAGGACUCAGUGGCUACGGGAUGAGCUGGUACUCAAACACAAUAUUGGAACCCCGGCCAUCAAAAUCUGAUUUGUCACUGGUUUGUCUCUCAACAAAAAGAAGUCAGAGUCUGUCUUACUCCCUUCUAUCUCCCGUAGCUCCUGGAGAAUCUUCCAUAAAACUGGCAGACUCCUCCUGGUCUCCACCUGUGCCGUCUACCUCUCUAGUUCCGGACACAGAGCUGGUGCCCUGCGGCCACCUCAAGCAGGAACCCUGCAAGGUCACCAAGAAGACUGCGUGCCUCGCUCUAGCCUCUUCCUAAGGGAAAGCAGACUCCUGUUUUUGAGAGAAAUUACCUGAUUUCGAGAGAAACAUAAAGGACUUUUUUUCUCCUUAAGGUAACAUUCCACUUGUAAAAAUAAGUUUGGAAGAAUUUCUGCAAACUCAGUGUUUUGGUCAGUUGGAUCUUUUACUGUACCAGCCGAAUCUAAAGCCACAAAUACACUGGGGAGGAAGGUGGGCCCUUCCCAAAGGAUUUGCACUUAGCCAGACUCUCUGUUGCUGUGCUUCUUUAAUAAAGAACAUUUCUGGUAUAUUUUGUCAAUUUAUUUUGAUUUUUUA